GGUCUAAUAGUGUAGAGGUUAUCACACGGGAUUCUGAUAUUUCACAUUUUAGAUGGUAUAUAUAUUCCCGUGACCCAGGUUCGAGUCCUGGUUAGACCU